rnacentral:rRNA from 1 species
GAUUGUAGGCUGAAACUCGCCUAUAUGAAGUCGGAAUUGCUAGUAAUCGCGGAUCAGCAUGCCGCGGUGAAUACGUUCCCGGGCCUUGUACACACCGCCCGUCACACCAUGAGAGUCGAUAACACCUGAAGCCUGUAGUCUAACCAUAUGGGGAACGCAGUCGAAGGUGGGAUUGAUAAUUAGGGUGAAGUCGUAACAAGGUAUC